rnacentral:rRNA from 1 species
UAGGGAAUCUUCCACAAUGGACGAAAGUCUGAUGGAGCAACGCCGCGUGAGUGAAGAAGGGUUUCGGCUCGUAAAACUCUGUUGUUAAAGAAGAACAUAUCUGAGAGUAACUGUUCAGGUAUUGACGGUAUUAAACCAGAAAGCCACGGCUAACUACGUGCCAA